AGCCGAGCUAUGAACACAAAGCGAACUAUUCUUUCGCCUUUUACUAAAGAAUACCGUGUGUUCGUAGCUUAAAUCGGCAUACGCCAAUUUUUGGGGAGUCUUCUCCACUGGAGAGGAC
rnacentral:snRNA from 1 species